rnacentral:rRNA from 1 species
AUACGGAGGGUGCAAGCGUUAAUCGGAAUUACUGGGCGUAAAGCGCGCGUAGGCGGUUUGAUCAGUCGGAUGUGAAAGCCCUGGGCCCAACCUGGGAACUGCAUUCGAUACUGUCAGACUAGAAUAUGGUAGAGGGUAGUGGAAUUCCUGGUGUAGCGGUGAAAUGCGUAGAUAUCAGGAGGAACAUCAGUGGCGAAGGCGGCUACCUGGACCAAUAUUGACGCUGAGGUGCGAAAGCGUGGGGAGCAAACAGGAUUAGAUACCCUAGUAGUCC